rnacentral:rRNA from 1 species
CCUACGGGAGGCAGCAGUGGGGAAUAUUGCACAAUGGGCGCAAGCCUGAUGCAGCAACGCCGCGUGAGGGACGACGGCCUUCGGGUUGUAAACCUCUUUUAGUAGGGAAGAAGCGAAAGUGACGGUACCUGCAGAAAAAGCACCGGCUAACUACGUGCCAGCAGCCGCGGUAAUACGUAGGGUGCAAGCGUUAUCCGGAAUUAUUGGGCGUAAAGAGCUCGUAGGCGGUUUGUCGCGUCUGCUGUGAAAACUGGAGGCUCAACCUCCAGCCUGCAGUGGGUACGGGCAAACUAGAGUGCGGUAGGGGAGAUUGGAAUUCCUGGUGUAGCGGUGGAAUGCGCAGAUAUCAGGAGGAACACCGAUGGCGAAGGCAGAUCUCUGGGCCGUAACUGACGCUGAGGAGCGAAAGCAUGGGGAGCGAACAGGAUUAGAUACCCUGGUAGUCCAUGCCGUAAACGUUGGGCGCUAGAUGUGGGGACCAUUCCACGGUUUCCGUGUCGCAGCUAACGCAUUAAGCGCCCCGCCUGGGGGAGGUACGGCCGCCGACGACGUAAACUACAACGGAAGUAGACGGCGUGAGACGUGCCGACGGACGACCGACCGAGGGAGGUAGG